CGCGUAGGUGGUAGUGAAAGUCUAUGGUGGAAUCUUAGGGCUUAACCCUAAAACUGCCUUGGAAACUUCAUUACUUGAGUCAGUGAGGGGAGGGUAGAAUUCCUGGUGUAGCGGUGAAAUGCGUAGAUAUCAGGAGGAAGGCCGGUGGCGAAGGCGGCCCUCUGGCGCUGAACUGACGCUGAGGCGCGAAAGCGUGGGUAGCAAACAGGAUUAGAUACCCUGGUAGUCCACGCCCUAAACGGUGGGUACUAGGUGUAGGGCUCGUAAGGGUUCUGUGCCGAAGGGAAACCAUUAAGUACCCCGCCUGGGGAGUACGGCCGCAAGGUUCGAA
rnacentral:rRNA from 1 species